AUAGGGGAGCCGAAGGGAAACCGAGUCUUAACUGGGCGUUAAGUUGCAGGGUAUAGACCCGAAACCCGGUGAUCUAGCCAUGGGCAGGUUGAAGGUUGGGUAACACUAACUGGAGGACCGAACCGACUAAUGUUGAAAAAUUAGCGGAUGACUUGUGGCUGGGGGUGAAAGGCCAAUCAAACCGGGAGAUAGCUGGUUCUCCCCGAAAGCUAUUUAGGUAGCGCCUCGUGAACUCAUCUUCGGGGGUAGAGCACUGUUUCGGCUAGGGGGUCAUCCCGACUUACCAACCCGAUGCAAACUGCGAAUACCGAAGAAUGUUAUCACGGGAGACACACGGCGGGUGCUAACGUCCGUCGUGAAGAGGGAAACAACCCAGACCGCCAGCUAAGGUCCCAAAGUCACAGUUAAGUGGGAAACGAUGUGGGAAGGCUCAGACAGCCAGGAUGUUGGCUUAGAAGCAGCCAUCAUUUAAAGAAAGCGUAAUAGCUCACUGGUCGAGUCGGCCUGCGCGGAAGAUGUAACGGGGCUAAACUGUGCACCGAAGCUGCGGCAGCGACGCUUAUGCGUUGUUGGGUAGGGGAGCGUUCUGUAAGCCUGCGAAGGUGUCCUGUGAGGGAUGCUGGAGGUAUCAGAAGUGCGAAUGCUGACAUAAGUAACGAUAAUGCGGGUGAAAAGCCCGCUCGCCGGAAGACCAAGGGUUCCUGUCCAACGUUAAUCGGGGCAGGGUGAGUCGACCCCUAAGGCGAGGCCGAAAGGCGUAGUCGAUGGGAAACGGGUUAAUAUUCCCGUACUUGGUGUUACUGCGAAGGGGGGACGGAGAAGGCUAUGUUGGCCGGGCGACGGUUGUCCCGGUUUAAGCGUGUAGGCUGGUUUUCCAGGCAAAUCCGGAAAAUCAAG
rnacentral:rRNA from 2 species